UACGUAGGGUGCGAGCGUUAAUCGGAAUUACUGGGCGUAAAGCGUGCGCAGGCGGUUAUGCAAGACAGAUGUGAAAUCCCCGGGCUCAACCUGGGAACUGCAUUUGUGACUGCAUGGCUGGAGUGCGGCAGAGGGGGAUGGAAUCCGCGUGUAGCAGUGAAAUGCGUAGAUAUGCGGAGGAACACCGAUGGCGAAGGCAAUCCCCUGGGCCUGCACUGACGCUCAUGCACGAAGCGUGGGGAGCAAACAGG
rnacentral:rRNA from 1 species